rnacentral:rRNA from 1 species
CGCGUGUACUGGUCCGGCCGGGCCUUUCCUUCUGGAGAGCCCCAUGCCCUUCACUGGGCGUGCGGGGGAACCAGGACUUUUACUUUGAAAAAAUUAGAGUGUUCAAAGCAGGCCUUUGCUCGAAUACGUUAGCAUGGGAUAAUAGAAUAGGACAUCGCUCUUUAUUUUUGUUGGUUUCUAAGAGCGGCGUAAUGAUUAAUAGAGAUAGUUGGGGGUAUUCAUAUUUAAUUGUCAGAGGUGAAAUUCUUGGAUUUAUGAAAGAUGAACUCCUGCGAAAGCAUUUAUCAAGGAUGUUUUCAUUAAUCAAGAACGAAAGUUAGGGGAUCGAAGACGAUCAGAUACCGUCGUAGUCUUAACCAUAAACUUUGCCGACCAGAGAUCAGGAGACGUUACAUGGAUGACUCCCCUGGCAUCUUGCGAGAAAUCACAAGUCUUUGGGUUCUGGGGGGAGUAUGGUCGCAAGGCUGAAACUUAAAGGAAUUGACGGAAGGGCACCACCAGGAGUGGAGCCUGCGGCUUAAUUUGACUCAACACGGGGAAACUUACCAGGUCCAGACAUAGUAAGGAUUGACAGAUUGAGAGCUCUUUCUUGAUUCUAUGGGUGGUGGUGCAUGGCCGUUCUUAGUUGGUGGAGUGAUUUGUCUGGUGAAAGGAAUUUGCCAGUAAAAGAUGCACUUGUGUGGGUAUAGAUGUUCACACAGGUUACUAGCAUCUAGUCUACACUCUUUGCUA